rnacentral:rRNA from 1 species
UUCCUACGGGACGCAGCAGUGGGGAAUAUUGCACAAUGGGGGAAACCCUGAUGCAGCGACGCCGCGUGAGUGAAGAAGUAUUUCGGUAUGUAAAGCUCUAUCAGCAGGAACGAGACAAGACGGUACCUGACUAGGAAGCACCGGCUAACUCCGUGCCAGCAGCCGCGGUAAUACGGAGGGUGCGAGCGUUAAUCGGAAUUACUGGGCGUAAAGCGCUCGUAGGCGGUAUGUCAAGUCAAGGGUGAAAUCCCCGCGCUCAACGUGGGAACUGCCUUUGAAACUGGCAAACUGGAGUGUGUGAGAGG